rnacentral:rRNA from 1 species
UACGGGGGGGGGCAAGCGUUGUUCGGAAUUACUGGGCGUAAAGGGCUUGUAGGUGGCCAACUAAGUCAGACGUGAAAUCCCUCGGCUUAACCGGGGAACUGCGUCUGAUACUGGAUGGCUUGAGUGUGGGAGAGGGAUGCGGAAUUCCAGGUGUAGCGGUGAAAUGCGUAGAUAUCUGGAGGAACACCGGUGGCGAAGGCGGCAUCCUGGACCAUAACUGACACUGAUAAGCGAAAGCCAGGGGAGCAAACGGG